ACCUGGGAACUGCGUUNUGAACUGGGUGACUAGAGUGUGUCAGAGGGAGGUAGAAUUCCACGUGUAGCAGUGAAANGCGUAGAGAUGUGGAGGAAUACCGAUGGCGAAGGCAGCCUCCUGGGAUAACACUGACGUUCAUGCCCGAAAGCGUGGGUAGCAAACAGGAUUAGAUACCCUGGUAGUNCACGCCCUAAACGAUGUCGAUUAGCUGUUGGGCAGCAUGACUGCUUAGUAGCGAAGCUAACGCGUGAAAUCGACCGCCUGGGGAGUACGGUCGCAAGAUUAAAACUCAAAGGAAUUGACGGGGACCCGCACAAGCGGUGGAUGAUGUGGAUUAAUUCGAUGCAACGCGAAGAACCUUACCUGGUCUUGACAUGUACGGAACCCUCCAGAGACGGAGGGGUGCCUUCGGGAGCCGUAACACAGGUGCUGCAUGGCUGUCGUCAGCUCGUGUCGUGAGAUGUUGGGUUAAGUCCCGCAACGAGCGCAACCCUUGUCAUUAGUUGCCAUCAUUAAGUUGGGCACUCUAAUGAGACUGCCGGUGACAAGCCGGAGGAAGGUGGGGAUGACGUCAAGUCCUCAUGGCCCUUAUGACCAGGGCUUCACACGUCAUACAAUGGUCGGUACAGAGGGUAGCCAAGCCGCGAGGUGGAGCCAAUCUCACAAAACCGAUCGUAGUCCGGAUUGCACUCUGCAACUCGAGUGCAUGAAGUCGGAAUCGCUAGUAAUCGCAGGUCAGCAUANUGCGGUGAAUACGUUCCCGGGUCUUGUACACACCGCCCGUCACACCAUGGGAGUGGGGGAUACCAGAAGUAGGU
rnacentral:rRNA from 1 species